rnacentral:rRNA from 1 species
AUUGAACGCUGGCGGAAUGCUUCACACAUGCAAGUCGAACGGCAGCACGGACUUCGGUCUGGUGGCGAGUGGCGAACGGGUGAGUAAUGUAUCGGAACGUGCCCAGUCGUGGGGGAUAACGUAGUGAAAAUUACGCUAAUACCGCAUACGAUCUAUGGAUGAAAGCGGGGGAUCGCAAGACCUCGCGCGAUUGGAGCGGCCGAUAUCAGAUUAGGUAGUUGGUGGGGUAAAGGCCCACCAAGCCAACGAUCUGUAGCUGGUCUGAGAGGACGACCAGCCACACUGGAACUGGGACACGGUCCAGACUCCUACGGGAGGCAGCAGUGGGGAAUUUUGGACAAUGGGCGAAAGCCUGAUCCAGCCAUUCCGCGUGGAGGAUGAAGGCCCUCGGGUUGUAAACUGCUUUUGUACAGAACGAAAAGGUUUCUACUAAUACUAGGAGCUCAUGACGGUACUGUAAGAAUAAGCACCGGCUAACUACGUGCCAGCAGCCGCCGUAA